ACCUUCCCGAGGCAGCAGCUUCACUGCGGGGCAGCCGCCUCCAGGGCCCCUUAAGCGAGGCCAUGAAGGAGGAGUGAGUCACCAACCGCGACAUCCUCCUUUCCUGUUCACAGAGAGAGCGACCCGGGCUGUCACUAGGAGAUGCUGGGGCAAUUUUUCACGGGUGCGCGGGCAGCUGGGGACCAGGAUGCUUCUUCCUCCCUCACCCGUUCAGCAACUGCAGCCUCGCCCAGCAGGAAGCAGACUCUCUUGAAGGAUCAGUCAAGAAACUCAGGAAACCAUCUGAUCCCAUAUUUUCAAAUAAAUAGCUUUAGAACCAUAACACCUGAAGCAGGUAUGUACAAGGUAGAAAACAGACUCAAGGGGGGAUCCCUGGGUGGCUCAGUGGUUUGGCGCCUGCCUUUGGUCCAGGGAGCAAUCCUGGGGACCGGGGAUCGAGUCCCACGUCGGGCUCCCUGCAUGGAGCCUGCUUCUCCCUCUGCCUGUGUCUCUGCCUCUCUCUCUCUAUGUCUAUCAUGAAUAAAUAAAUAAAAUCUUUAAAAAAAACAGAAAGAAAACAGACUCAAAUAGAAAGUAGAAGCAGGGACUGGAAGCCCUGGCCACUCUCUACACCCUCUUUUCUCCCCUGGCUUCCAGCAAGUCCCUCCAUCGAGAUCAUAUAGUUCAGUUUGUUUUUACUUUUCAGACCAAUGAGCCGAGGGCCAGGGGGGUCACAGUCUCCUGCUGAGGAUACACAGCUCGAUGAUGACAAAGAUGGGACUGGAACAUGGCAGAGACAGGUCACCAUCCUCAGAGAAUUGUUUCUCUGUUCAAAUGACCAAAAAAAAAAAAAAAAAAAAUCCCAAAGAUUCCUGGAGCUGCUGUGAAGAGACAUAGACCAAAGCCCAGGUCCUGAUCCACUCCCGCGGCCUCACUCGCUCUGCCCAGCCAGAGCUGCUGCGUGGGGCUGUGCACACUCCCUCCUGCUUCCAGAGCUUGGAUUCUGUGACUGCAACACAUCUCAGAGAAAGCGGGGCCACUCUGGAAAAAUGUGCGGAGGUUCCCCAAAGGGGUACAAAUAGAGCUGCCCUACGACCCAGCAAUUGCAUUGCUGGGGAUUCACCCCAAAGAUACGGAUGCAGUGAAACGCCGGGACACCUGCACCCCGAUGUUCACAGCAGCCAUGUCCACAAUAGCCACACUGUGGAAGGAGCCUCGGUGUCCAUGGACAGAUAAUAGAUAGAGAAGCUGUGGUCUAUGGAUACAGUGGGAUAUUCCUCAGCCAUUAGAAACGACAAAUACCCCCCAUUUGCUUCAAGGUGGAUGGACCUGGAGGGUAUGAUGCUGAGUGAAUAAGUCAAUCGGAGAAGGACAGUUAUUAUAUGGUCUCACUCAUACGGGGAAUAUAAGAAAUAGGGAAAGGGAAUAAAGGGGAAAGGAGAGAAAAUGAGUGGGAAAUAUCAGGGAGGGAGACAGAACAUGAGAGACUCCUAAGUCUGGGAAAUGA
rnacentral:lncRNA from 1 species